UGCAUUGGCCGGGAAUCGAACCAGGGGCGCCUGAGUGGCAGGCGAACAUUCUACCACUGAACCAAAAGC
rnacentral:tRNA from 1 species